rnacentral:tRNA from 2 species
GCGGCUAUGGUGAAGUGGUUAACACACCGGAUUGUGGCUCCGGCAUGCAUGGGUUCGAGUCCCAUUAGUCGCCCCA